CAGUGAGCCAAGAUCAUGCCACUGCAUGGGUGACAGAGCAAGACUCUGUCUCAAAAAAAAAAAAAAAAAAAGAUAUGAGUGCUGGAGAAGCCAACCAAUGGGCACAGACAAGAAAGCCUGCUCUCUCUACCUGCGUUAGUUUCCUAGACCUGCCCUAGCUAGUUACCACAACUUUGGUGGCUUAAAUGACAGAAACUUAUUCUCUCCCAGUUCCGGAGGCCAGAAGUCUGAAAUAAAGGUGUGAACAGGAUCACACCUCUUCUGAAGGCUCUAGGGAGGUUCUAUCCCUGGUGGCGUCCAGCUUCUGUUGGCUUUAGGCAAUCCUUGGCUUGUGACUGCAUCUCUGCCCCUGGGUCAUAUUGCUGCCGCUUUCUCUGUCACAUCUCUGCUGUGUAUCUCUUACAAGAAUACUUGCCAUUGGAUUUAGAGCCAAUUUGAAAAAUCCAGGGUAAGCACUUUGUCUCAAGUCAUACAGCAUGAACUAAGACCAAAUUUGCAUCUAUAUAUUAGCUCAGAAGUCCUGCAUCUCAUCAUCUAAGUCAGAUGUGGGUGAGACCCCGUGCAUGAUUCAUUUUAGGAUUAAAUUUCUCUGGCUGUGGACCUGUGAUACUACAGGUUAUCAGCUUCCAAAUAACUUUGGAAUUUGGAUAAAUAAAUUUAUUUAAAAUGAUGUAAUAGGCAUAUGAUAGAUGUUCUCAUUCUGAAAGGGAAAAUUGGAAGGGAUAAAGAAGUCACCAUUCCCAACCAAUUUUGAUCUAGCAGAGAAAAUUCCAUUAGGAUUCAAGGCCUGCAAAUAAUUCCCUAGCUUGAAGUGCCGCCCACUGGGCCCACAACAGUUGUGCAGACCUUUGUGUCUGCUCACAGCAGAACCAUGGGCCUCUCUGUACCCAUGGUGGCUCCAUAGGCCUCUGAGUCUGUGCUCACAGUGACCUCAUAGGCCUGUGUCUCUGCAUCCAUCACUUCUGUCUGCUCCUCUGGCCUCUGCCUCUGUGCCCCUGGCUCUGCCCUUGGAGUCAUUCUUGCUUUUUCUUGAAGGAUCGCAU
rnacentral:lncRNA from 1 species